rnacentral:tmRNA from 1 species
GGGGGCGACCUGGCUUCGACGUGGGUUGCAAAGCAGAGCAGGGCAUACCGAGGACGGACUACCUCGUAAAUACAAUCCGAAAUCGUUUAACUGCAAACGACGAAACUUACGCUCUGGCCGCUUAAUUGCGCCAGACCCUACACCAGCUAGCAUACGAGGUGGGCCGGGCAACCGGCAGUAGGGUAAUUUCAGUAUGAUCGCCUUGUCCAGGGUUGCUUUGGACAAGGUUAAAACCAAGGCAACUCGCUGGCUUCCAGCCUGUUCGGUGGGCGUGAAGCAGGUUAAAACCAAAUUACCGGACUAAGUAUGUAGAACUGUCUGUAGAGGGCUUGCGGACGGGGGUUCGAUUCCCCCCGCCUCCACCA